UACGUAGGGGGCAAGCGUUGUCCGGAAUCAUUGGGCGUAAAGAGCGCGUAGGCGGCCCAGUAAGUCCGCUCUGAAAGUCAGGGGCUCAACCCCUGGAUGCGGGUGGAUACUGUCGGGCUCGAGUCCGGAAGAGGAGUGUGGAAUUCCUGGUGUAGCGGUGAAAUGCGCAGAUAUCAGGAGGAACACCAAUGGCGAAGGCAGCACUCUGGGACGUGACUGACGCUGAGACGCGAAAGCGUGGGGAGCAAACAGG
rnacentral:rRNA from 1 species